GCAAUUCUGGGGUUUUUGCUGUCCAUUGUUUAUUUCGUACUAACUGGUUAAGGUUUGGUGCCUAAAGUUUACGCAUUCAUGUCUUUGAUGUUGAUUUAUGGUGAUUAGUCAAUUUUUUUGGUUUGAAAAUCAAUUGCUAUGUGCAACUCAUUUUUGUUAUGUUGAAGCUGAUUGAAAAUUGAGAAUGAGUGUUCACUGUUCUUUGAUAGUGCUUGAGUGAAUUUUUGUUUUCCUUGGUAGGUAUAUUUUUCCAAUUACAAUGCAUUGGUAUAGGUUCUUGAGAGCUUUGAUGUGUUAAAAUUGAACUUUGCAGGUUUUGGUUAAGAUGGUACUGUUCACAGGGCUAUUUAUACAUAAAUUAUUGAUUCUGAUGCCUAUUUAUGCAUUUAAUCUGAAUUUGCAUUGUAUUUGUGAAUUUUUGGUGUUAAUCUUAAUGAUUCAUGAGUUUCUUAGUUGAAAUUUUUCAUUUUAACCAAGUUUUAAGCACUAAAAAUUUCUUUUCUAUGCAUUUUAAAAUUUGUAGCACUGUUUUUGCGUAAAUUUUGAUUCAUGCCGAAAUGUGCACAGCCUGUUACACAACAUGUGCAAUUUCAUGUUGCAAUUUAAGUUUUUUAUUUCUUUCUUAUUGAAAUAUGCAUAGCUUAGUGCAUAUCGCAACUUCACGCUGCUUUAUUUUGCUUCAUUGUCUAUUCUUAUCGAAACAUGCAUGGGUAGUGCAUAGCCUGCGCACUCUCACACCUAUCCUAUCCAUUUUCAUGCCAAUUUUUUUUAACAACCCUAACCUACUCUUUUCCCUCUGUCACGUUGCCACUUACCCAUGACACCUAUUUC
rnacentral:misc_RNA from 1 species